UGGGGAAUAUUGCACAAUGGGCGCAAGCCUGAUGCAGCCAUGCCGCGUGUAUGAAGAAGGCCUUCGGGUUGUAAAGUACUUUCAGCGGGGAGGAAGGGAGUAAAGUUAAUACCUUUGCUCAUUGACGUUACCCGCAGAAGAAGCACCGGCUAACUCCGUGCCAGCAGCCGCGGUAAUACGGAGGGUGCAAGCGUUAAUCGGAAUUACUGGGCGUAAAGCGCACGCAGGCGGUUUGUUAAGUCAGAUGUGAAAUCCCCGGGCUCAACCUGGGAACUGCAUCUGAUACUGGCAAGCUUAAGUCUCGUAGAGGGGGGUAGAAUUCCAGGUGUAGCGGUGAAAUGCGUAGAGAUCUGGAGGAAUACCGGUGGCGAAGGCGGCCCCCUGGACAAAGACUGACGCUCAGGUGCGAAAGCGUGGGGAGCAAACA
rnacentral:rRNA from 1 species